rnacentral:rRNA from 1 species
UACGGAGGGAGCUAGCGUUAUUCGGAAUUACUGGGCGUAAAGCGCACGUAGGCGGUUACUCAAGUCAGAGGUGAAAGCCUGGAGCUCAACUCCAGAACUGCCUUUGAAACUAGGUGACUUGAAUCCAGGAGAGGUGAGUGGAAUUCCGAGUGUAGAGGUGAAAUUCGUAGAUAUUCGGAAGAACACCAGUGGCGAAGGCGGCUCACUGGACUGGUAUUGACGCUGAGGUGCGAAAGCGUGGGGAGCAAACAG